GCCCGGGUGGCGGAAUGGCAGACGCGGCGGACUCAAAAUCCGUUGCCUUCACGGGCGUGCGGGUUCAAGUCCCGCCCCGGGCAC
rnacentral:tRNA from 2 species